CCUACGGGCGGCAGCAGUGAGGAAUAUUGGUCAAUGGGUGCGAGCCUGAACCAGCCAAGUCGCGUGAAGGAUGAAGGAUCUAUGGUUUGUAAACUUCUUUUAUAUGGGAAUAACGUGAGGAACGUGUUCCUUUUUGUAUGUACCAUAUGAAUAAGCAUCGGCUAACUCCGUGCCAGCCGCCGCGGUCAUACGGAGGAUGCGAGCGUUAUCCGGAUUUAUUGGGUUUAAAGGGUGCGUCGGUGGUUCAUUAAGUCAGCGGUGAAAGUUUGUGGCUCAACCAUAAAAUUGCCGUUGAUACUGGUUGACUUGAGUAGAGUUGAGGGAGGCGGAAUGCGUGGUGUAGCGGUGAAAGGCAUAGAGAUCACGCAGAAUACCGAUGGCGAAGGCAGCUUACUAAACUAUAACUGACACUGAAGCACGAAAGCGUGGGGAGCAAACAGGAUUAGAUACCCCGGUAGUC
rnacentral:rRNA from 1 species